rnacentral:tRNA from 1 species
GGAGGGGUGGCCGAGCGGCUUAAGGCGACGGUCUUGAAAACCGUUAACCCGCAAGGGUUCGUGGGUUCGAAUCCCACUCCCUCCGCCA